UGAUAGGAGCAUUUUAAUGCGACAUUUUAACUGUUAUUUCCCUAUAUUUUAUGCGUUAUUUCCUUAAUAAAACUCUUUUAGGAAAGUUUCCAUUCUUUGAUUGGAAAAGUUCCUAAUUGUAGAAAGUUUCCGUUUUGUAGUUUCUAUUUUUCAUUUUUAGAAAGUUUCCCAUUUUAGUUUAGGAAAGUUUCCAUUUCUUAUUUUAGAAAGCUUCUAUUUUCAGGUCUUUGGAAUAAAUAAGCUGAAUUGAGUUCAUAAAUGGGAAGAGAAGCUUCAUGAAGAUGACAUGGCAAGAAGGUGACAACGUGGGAAUUAAAGAUGAUUGAUUGAGGAUUUCAAGGAGAGAUUUUCUUGGGAGACUUUUAU
rnacentral:lncRNA from 1 species